AGCUCGACACCUACGGGGCAGCAGUGAGGAAUAUUGGUCAAUGGGCGCUAGCCUGAACCAGCCAAGUAGCGUGAAGGAUGAAGGCUCUAUGGGUCGUAAACUUCUUUUAUAUAAGAAUAAAGUGCAGUAUGUAUACUGUUUUGUAUGUAUUAUAUGAAUAAGGAUCGGCUAACUCCGCGCCAGCAGCCGCGGUAAUCUGAGCGGGCUGGCAAGGC
rnacentral:rRNA from 1 species